rnacentral:rRNA from 1 species
UACGUAGGGUGCAAGCGUUGUCCGGAAUUAUUGGGCGUAAAGAGCUUGUAGGCGGUUUGUCGCGUCUGCUGUGAAAUUUCGGGGCUCAACCCCGAACUUGCAGUGGGUACGGGCAGACUUGAGUUCGGUAGGGGAGACUGGAAUUCCUGGUGUAGCGGUGAAAUGCGCAGAUAUCAGGAGGAACACCGAUGGCGAAGGCAGGUCUCUGGGCCACUACUGACGCUGAGAAGCGAAAGCAUGGGGAGCGAACAGG